AACGAACGCUGGCGGCAGGCCUAACACAUGCAAGUCGAACGCCCCGCAAGGGGAGUGGCAGACGGGUGAGUAACGCGUGGGAACCUUCCCUACAGUACGGAAUAUAUCAGGGAAACUUGGAGCAAUACCGUAUACGCCCGAAAGGGGAAAGAUUUAUCGCUAUAGGAUGGGCCCGCGUUGGAUUAGCUAGUUGGUGAGGUAAUGGCUCACCAAGGCGACGAUCCAUAGCUGGUCUGAGAGGAUGAUCAGCCACACUGGGACUGAGACACGGCCCAGACUCCUACGGGAGGCAGCAGUGGGGAAUAUUGGGCAAUGGGCGAAAGCCUGACCCAGCCAUGCCGCGUGAGUGACGAAGGCCUUAGGGUUGUAAAGCUCUUUUGGCGGGGACGAUAAUGACGGUACCCGCAGAAUAAGCCCCGGCUAACUUCGUGCCAGCAGCCGCCGUAACAC
rnacentral:rRNA from 1 species